AAGGGAUUUUUACCUAUACAUCCCAUAUACCAAACCUUUCUACCACUCAUGUUUAAGGUUAGUAUUUAUUACAUUUUAGUAUACCAUAUUUCAAUAUAUAUACCAUUUUAAGUAUUAAUUACCAAUCAUUAAUUAGAGGAUUUAUUUGUGGAAAAAAUUAAUAUUGCCAUAUUCUCUUUCCCCAUUAACCACACGUUUUUUAUUUUAAUUUUUAUACUUUUCCAUAAAAAAUACACCCCCCCCCCCCC
rnacentral:lncRNA from 1 species